rnacentral:rRNA from 1 species
AUGCCACCUAAGGCUCCCAAAGCACCCAUCACAUGCAACUGGGUUAGAUCCAACGUCACCGACAGCAUCGUAGCUGACUUUGUGAAAACGGGUUAUCUGCCAAAGAAAGAGGUCAUGUCCUAUCGUGCUCCUGACCCGUCAGAAGAGAGGCCUCAACCCAAGGAUGGGGAAGUUGUCAUAUUUACUGAUCACAUGAACCGGGGCUUUGCUCCUCCCGACUCAAAAUUCUUCAGAGAUGUCCUGCACUUCUUUGACCUACGACCUCAAGACAUCGGACCCAAUUCCGUGUCAAACAUCUGCAACUUCCAAGUGUUCUGUGAGGUGUACCUCGGAGAAGAACCCAGCUUGCUGCUCUUUCGGGAGUUAUUUUACCUGAACCGCUAG